ACACACACCGGCGUACUGGAACCUCUCUCGCGAUCCCGCACCCAGCUUGAAUUCAGCAAGAAUCGAAAACAGGUGUGCCCCCGUGUCCAACAACCGUCGUAUCUACAGCGAUCCUUAGAGAACAAUUAAGGCCAGUUGACAGUAAAGAACAAUCAGUGUGUAUUUGAAGUCCAUGCUGAGAGAGCAUCAAUCUUCUGGCAGCUGCAAGACUGACCUAUCAACCGAGGCAUUUCUUCAUUCCCUGCCAUUGUCUCCUCCUCUUGAGAUCGCCAUCAGGCACAGUCACUUUUCUACAAACAGGCAAUAGGACUCCCGCUGCCACCCUGCCCAGAUUUUAGUCCUCUACUGCUGAUAAAGUGAGCAAAGAUACGUGGCACUUCCUGAACCCAAAUACUCUUCUGAGCUGAUUCUAAAUCCACACAGAAUCAACCUACCUCCUAUUACCUCCUUCCAAGCUCUGUGUCCCAUUCUCUCAUUUCAGUCUCAGCUCCAGACAUCAGUGAAUUCAAUGUGAUACAUCAGGGGACAUCACAGGACUUCCCUACUUGAAAAUCAAGCAAUCGUGUCCCUGAAACACUCUGUCUUUAUUCAUGCUCAGUUACCGUAAAGUAGAUGCAACUCUAAGAACCUAUGGAUUUUUUUAUUGCCACUAAUAGAUCAUGAUUUACAGCAAAAUUUUAAAAGGUCCAAUUUUACUCACAUAAGAAGAAGAAAACAUUCAGCAAGAAGCAUUUCUUUUGCUUUAUCUUUCCCAGUUAAAUAUGACUUUAAAAAAGACAAAAUUUUAAAAGGUCCAAUUUUACUCACAAAAGAAGAA
rnacentral:lncRNA from 1 species